rnacentral:lncRNA from 1 species
GUACACAUAAGCGAUUACAUAUAAAUGGUGUGUUCUAAGUUAUAUGUUCUAAAUUAUAUAUCCUAAGUUAGUACAUAUAAGUUACUCGUAGAACAAAAUUCUUUGAAACGUAUCUAAGUGGGGUCUAGUUUUAUUCGUCGCAUCGUGUAGAACACGCUGGUGCAGACGAAAUUAAAAAUGGACAAACUGUUUUUAAGUUAUAGCAUUUUUAAUUUUUUUUUGUUUUUGUGGGUUAUGUCAGUGCUGACAUCAUAGCCAGAGAAAAAGAACGAAACGUGAGAGGCAAUAAGGAUGCACGGGAUAAGUGUUUCCUAAAAGGAAAAGAGGUGGAAUUUUUUUUCCUAAAAUGGAAAAUUUAGAUGGUUAGUUUGAGUGAUCGUUCGUCAAUUAGUGGCGUCGCCUAAGGAAGGCCUUGUUUAGUUCCGAAAAUUUUUUGGUUUUCGGAGCUGUAACACUUUCGUUUUUAUUUAACAAACAUUAUCUGAUCAUAGAGUAACUAGGCUUAAAAAAUUUAUCUCGUGAUUUACAGAUAAACUGUACAAUUAGUUUUUAUUUUCAUCUAUACUUGAUAUUCUAUGCAUGUGUCGCAAGAUUCGAUGUGACGGAAAAUGUUGAAAAGAUUUUACGGUGAACUAAACAAGGCGAAAGCCUCAGAUCGGGGGCGGACAAAUCACCCAACACUCCGUCGUAGUACGUACGUGUAGGUUUCCGAGUUCUGAUGCAUGAUUGGUCUGUCUCGCUCCGUGUGCCUGCCGUGCGCCCGUGGCAGCCGCGUUCCGCGCCACAUAUCACAGACGUACGCGUUCUAGCGAGCCAAAGCCCAGGGGGCCGGGGACUUGCACGGUGACCGAUCGAGCGUACGGGUGCGGUGCACCAGGCGUCCCCUUCAGCUUGAGGCCUUGGCCUUGUUUAGUUCCCAAAAAAUUUUGUAAAAUUUUUCAGAUUCCCGUCACAU